GACGAACGCUGGCGGCGUGCUUAACACAUGCAAGUCGAACGAAGUGGCGAACGGGUGAGUAACGCGUAAUCAACCUGCCCUUCAGAGGGGGAUAACAGUUGGAAACGACUGCUAAUACCGCAUACAGAAGGAGGGGAUUGCGUCUGAUUAGCUAGUUGGGGGGGUAACGGCCCACCAAGGCGAUGAUCAGUAGCCGGUCUGAGAGGGUGAGCGGCCACAUUGGGACUGAGACACGGCCCAGACUCCUACGGGAGGCAGCAGUGGGGAAUCUUCCGCAAUGGACGGAAGUCUGACGGAGCAACGCCGCGUUAUUGAUGACGGCCUUCGGGUUGUAAAGCUCUGUUGUUCGGGACGCGGUACCGGAAUAGAAAGCCACGGCUAACUACGUGCCAGCCGCCGCGGUAAUUC
rnacentral:rRNA from 1 species